rnacentral:rRNA from 1 species
UACGGAGGAUGCAAGCGUUAUCCGGAUUUAUUGGGUUUAAAGGGUGCGCAGGUUGUUUGAUAAGUCAGUGGUGAAAGUCUGUCGCUUAACGGUAGGAUUGCCAUUGAUACUGUUGGACUUGAAUAUGGAUGAGGUAGGCGGAAUGUGUAGUGUAGCGGUGAAAUGCAUAGAUAUUACACAGAACACCGAUUUCGAAGGCAGCUUACUAAUCCAUCAUUGACGCUGAGGCACGAAAGCGUGGGGAUCAAACAGGA